CAGCUUGUCGGCGCCAUUUUGUCUCGGCAGCGGUGGCCGUAGCUCCAUCGCAUUUUAUGUUUCUGGCGAGAAGGGAACGGAGUUUUCAUCAGGUAGAUUGGUUUUUGUGCGGCCGUCCUCCACCGUUUCCUCCAGGACAGCACCUAGUCGUGGCCGGAGGAGUCUCAGAGCUGUCAGAAAGAAUAAGACUGAUUUUAUGGGAAAAUUAAGCAGAUGCUCCAGUUUGAGAAACCUGGAUCUGCGAUCUGUUUGUGGUCUCUAUGAAUAAAGAAAAGCAAAUAGAAUCUUAUCAGCAGCAUCAAGAUGAUUUAUGGUAAUAAGAUAUAAAACCAAGGAAAAUAACCUAAAGUCUGAAAAAGACCAGAAUCGAAGUUUCCUGAUUCAUAUUUUAAUGUUUUGAAAUUUAUACUCCAGGCUGGGUGCAGUGGCUUGUGCCUGUAAUCCCAGCACUUUGGGAGGCCGAGGCGGCCGGAUUGCCUGAAGUCAGAAGUUCGAGACCAGCCUGACCAACAUGGUGAAACCCUGUCUCUACUUAAAAAUACAAAAGAGCUGGGCAUGGAGGUGGUGCGCGCCUGUAACCCUAGCUACUCGGGAGGCUGAGGCCUAAGAAUCUCUUGAACCCAGGAGGCAGAGGUUGUAGUGAGCCGGGAUCACGCCACUGCACUCUAGCCUGGGCGACAGAGAGAGAGACUGUCUAAAAAAGGAAAAGAAAAAAAUUUAUACGCCAAAAAAGAUAUUCUGAGAUAACCUGUAGUUACCACUAACUUUGUGACAAAAUUAUAAAAAUCCACAGCCAUCUAUGAAUCUGUAGGCAGACCUGAAGUUUGAACGACUGGUGAAGACAUCUGAUUUUCUUUAUAGCCAAGUUAGGAUAACAAAAUGCAAACAAGUCAUUAAUAUUUACUAUAUGCAAGAUACAGAAAGAUGAAGGAAGGAGUAAGAAGUUAUCCUUCGUGGAACUAUUCAAAGCAAAAAUGCAAAAUACCAGGGAAAGCUUUGAAGAACCAAGAUUUGAGCAGGUUCUUAGAAUAUAGAUUGGAUUGGAUUUGAUUUCAAGAAAGAUGAACGUGUAAAGCAGAAGUGGGAAGCCAAAAACUUUUUUCCAAAUUAGAAUUAAGCAUUCUUUCAAUGAACAUUUGGAAAUCAAGGUAGAAAAAUAUCCCUAGGGCCUAGCUGAGGAGUCUGUAUGUUGUUGGGUUUUGAUAGUAACCAGUCCAAGAUUUUGUUAUUAGACGUGGGUUUCUGAAUAGACAGGCAUUUCUGAACAGACAUGACAGGAUCAAAACAAUGUUUGAGCAAACUGCCCUUCAUCUACUGUGGAUAUGUUGGGGGAUGAUGGAAUAUAGUGAAAGAUAAUGGGUGCUCAUACAGCAGUCUAGACUUAAGGUGAUUCAACUACUAUAUAUUAAACUAGAUUAUCUUUUAUUUUUUAAUUUUGAAAUCUGGAUGCUCAAGCUCUGCCUGCACAACCACAUGAGGAAGAAGGAACAAUGACAACAAAAAUAACACUAAAUUUAAAUUUAAGAGUACUACUUUUAGGAAAUAGACAAACCAUUAUUUGGGUACAACUAAAGGCAACUGGCAUGGACUCAAAUAUUUUGGGGAAGAAAAAGACUAAAAGUUCUAAGGAAGAAAAUGCGAACCUUGAUAGUUUGAAAUAGUUAAAAAGACAGUGUAGAAACUGCUUAGGCAGUUUGAUUAUGGACUAUUAGAUGAUACUUGGGUCUGAUAAUGGUAUAAGGAGAAUAAAGUAUUUAGGGAUCCAAUAUUACGCCUGCAGCUUUUUCCAAAUAGUUCAUGGGGGAGGGGGAUGUGUAAGUGGUUAACUGAAGUCUAACUAGAUAGGUUUGUUGUAAGCUUAGGAUGUUUACAGUUCUUCAUGUUAAGUUGAGCGUGAUGGGAAGGGAAAGAAUGCUGAUCUUUAAAUUUUUGUCCUUAGUUAAGUUCUGUAUUUAGUGAAUUAAUUGCAUCCUAAAAAGUCAAACUUGAAAAGCACAUUUUAAAUGGCAAAUCUAUUUUUUACAUGUUUGUGAAGUUUUUAUUUUUUAGUAAACAGACCAUCAGAAGAGAACAAUGGUACAGAGCAGGGGUCAGCAGAUGGAUUUUGUAAAGCAUCAACUUGUAAAUAUUUUCAAGUUUAUUAGCUGUAUGGCUCUGGUUUCUGUUCCCUGUUCCAAAUGUUAAAGUCUACUGUUGUAUUCUAAAAGCAGCCAUGGACUGAAUGUAGCUGUGUUCCAAUAAAACUUACACAAAAGCAGGCAGUGGGCCAUAAUUUGCAACACCUGAUUCACAGCAUAAUUUUGUCACAAACUGAAAGUGUUCCUCAAUUAAAGUGAUUUUUUUUUCUUG
rnacentral:lncRNA from 1 species